UUGUUGGCAUGGUUUUGUAAGUUGAAGUAUGUGUUGUAUCCGGUUUUGCACUCAAGGACGAAUUUCAAACUCAGCGAUAAACUGAGGGACCUAGAAUGAACUUAUUCCUUUUCCAUCUCCCGGUGUGAGCCUCCUCUAUAUCGGCCAGCAACUAUUCGUUGGGCCGUCAAGUUGGGCCAGUGCUACUAUUUCCUACUCCCUCUGUACAAAAACAAAAACAAAAAAAGGAAAAAGUACACCCAAGGUCCCUCAACUUGUCAUUGUGUUACAAAAUCAUCCCCCAACCGCAAAACCAGAUACCGGACAUCCUCAACUAACAAAACCAGAUCCUUCGG
rnacentral:misc_RNA from 1 species